UACAGAGGGUGCAAGCGUUGUUCGGAAUUAUUGGGCGUAAAGCGCACGUAGGCGGUUCGUUAUGUCGGAUGUGAAAGCCCUUGGCUUAACCGAGGAAGUGCAUCCGAAACUGGCGAGCUAGAGUACUAAAGAGGAUCGCGGAAUUCCCGGUGUAGAGGUGAAAUUCGUAGAUAUCGGGAGGAACACCGGUGGCGAAGGCGGCGAUCUGGGUAGAUACUGACGCUGAGGUGCGAAAGCGUGGGGAGCAAACAGG
rnacentral:rRNA from 1 species